CGGUCCAACAAAACCGGCG
rnacentral:snRNA from 1 species